rnacentral:lncRNA from 1 species
AAUCGAUUGUUGAGCACUGACAAUCGAUUGUUAAACAUAGACAAUCGAUUGUUGACUAUUUUGAAAAAUUCGACCUCUGUAUAAAGACAAUCGAUUGUUAAGCAUAGACAAUCGAUUGUGGAUGAUUUUUGAAAAAUUCCGGAUUAGUCUUAACGACAAUCGAUUGUUAGACAUAGACAAUCGAUUGUGGAUGAUUUUUGA